rnacentral:rRNA from 1 species
GGUUUGAUUCUGGCUCAGAUUGAACGCUGGCGGGAUGCUUUACACAUGCAAGUCGAACGGCAGCACGGACUUCGGUCUGGUGGCGAGUGGCGAACGGGUGAGUAAUGUAUCGGAACGUGCCUAGUAGCGGGGGAUAACUACGCGAAAGCGUAGCUAAUACUACGCCCUUCGGGGAAGCGGGGGACCUUCGGGCCUCGCACUAUUAGAGCGGCCGAUAUCGGAUUAGCUAGUUGGUGGGGUAACGGCUCGCAAGGCGACGUCCGUAGCUGGUUUGAGGAGGACGACCAGCCACACUGGGACUGAGACACGGCUGAACUCCUACAGGAGGCAGCAGUGGGAAUUUUGGACAAUGGGGGAAACCCUGAUCCAGCCAUCCCGCGUGUGCGAUGAAGGCCCUUCGGGUUGUAAAGCACUUUGGCAGGAAAAACGGCACGGGAUAAUACCCCGUGCAACUGACAGUACCUGCAGAAUAAGCACCGGCUAACUACGUGCCAGCAGCCGCGGUAAUACGUAGGGUGCAAGCGUUAAUCAGGAUACUGGGCGUAAAGCGUGCGCAGGCCGGUUCGGAAAGAAGAUGUGAAAUCCCAGAGCUUAACUUUGGAACUGCAUUUUUAACUACCGGCUAGAGUGUGUCAGAGGGAGGUGGAAUUCCGCGUGUAGCAGUGAAAUGCGUAGAUAUGCGGAGGAACACCGAUGGCGAAGACAGCCUCCUGGGAUAACACUGACGCUCAUGCACGAAGAAGCGUGGGAGCAAACAGGAUUAGAUACCCUGGUAGUCCACGCCCUAAACGAUGUCAACUAGCUGUUGGGGCCUUCGGCCUUGGUAGCGCAGCUAACGCGUGAAGUUGACCGCCUGGGAAGUACGGUCGCAAGAUUAAAACUCAAAGGAAUUGACGGGGACCCGCACAAGCGGUGGAUGAUGUGGAUUAAUUCGAUGCAACGCGAAAAACCUUACCUACCCUUGACAUGUCUGGAAUCCCAGAGAUUUGGGAGUGCUCAUAAGAGAACCGGAACACAGGUGCUGCAUGGCUGUCGUCAGCUCGUGUCGUGAGAUGUUGGGUUAAGUCCGCAACGAGCGCAACCCUUGUCAUUAGUUGCUACGAGGGCACUCUAAUGAGACUGCCGGUGACAAACCAGAGGAAGGUGUAGGAUGGCGUGCCAAGUCCUCAUGGCCCAUAUGGGUAGGGCUUCACCCACGUCAUACAAUGGUCGGGACAGAGGUCGCCAACCCGCGAGGGGGAGCCAAUCCCAGAAACCCGAUCGUAGUCCGGAUCGCAGUCUGCAACUCGACUGCGUGAAGUCGGAAUCGCUAGUAAUCGCGGAUCAGCAUGUCGCGGUGAAUACGUUCCCGGGUCUUGUACACACCGCCCGUCACACCAUGGGAGUGGGUUUUACCAGAAGUAGUUAGCCUAACCGUAAGGAGGGCGAUUACCACGGUAGGAUUCAUGACUGGGGUGAAGUCGUAACAAAGGUAA